UUGCGGCUUUGAGGUCUGGUUAGGUGGUUAUUAUGGGCUUGCCGAAUCCACUGCAUCUUCGCCUCAACCCACUCUCCAACCCUCCUACCCCCACUUAGAUUUCAAGUUCCUUAGGGAGGUAGAUCUUUUUUUUUUUUUUUUUUUUUUGAGACAGAGUCUCCCUCUGGAGUGAGUGCAGUGGCACGAUCUUGGCUCACAGCAAGCUCCGCCUCCGGGUUCACGCCAUUCUCCUGCCUCAGCCUCCGGAGUAGCUGGGACUACAGGCGCUCACCACCACGCCUGGCUAAUUUUUUUUUUGUAUUUUUUUUUUUUUUUUUUUUGUAGAGAUGGAGUUUCACCGUGUUAGCCACCAUAGUCUCGAUCUGUCAGGAGUUCCAGCCAUGCGAGAUUUCUGUGAAGGAUUUAAACAAGAGAAAAACAAAGGAGAAGUAAGCAGCCUGCAAAGAAAUGUUUAGAAAAUUCCAAGUGGGUGAAGCUUGCGGGAUUUGAUGAGCCUGAAGAGCUUCCUUUAGGAUUUCUUGUGAGACAAGUCAGCUUUUAUUUGUCUGGAAAAGUCUUUAUCUCACUUUUAUUUGUGAAGAACAGCUUUGGCAAUUCUCAAGAAUAACUGUAGAAUGUACUGGGAAUGCAACAUCCUGAGAGAAGAAAGGACUGGCUAGAAUAGCCCAGGUCCUGUUCCAGUUCCCUUGGAAACUGAAUGUCUUUCAAUGCUUUGUCCAGGGGGUAACUUCACCUUGGAGUAUAAAACCCAGGGUGGGCUGCUUCUGCGGGUCCCUAGCUGAGGUACAAGUGUGGCAUGCACAGACAGGACUACACCUCCCCCGAGCAGCUUUCCCCAGCCUUGGAGGACUAGUUUGCCAUGAAUCCCAGGUGCUGUUGGCCCUUGCUGCCUAUCUGUAAGUAAUAAAUCCAUGUACAUG